CCUGUAGAGAGGGGGAAAGAUGUNGUCGGCGAUCUCUACGGGAUGGGGCCGCGGCGCACUAUCUCGAUGGUAUGGUAACGGCUUAUCCUGGCGACGAUGCGUACCCCACCUGAGAGGGUGAGCGCCCACACUGGGACUGAGACACAGCCCACACUCCCACGGGAGGCAGCAGUAGGGAAUCUUCCCCACUGGACGAAAGUCUGACAGAGCAACACCCCGUGAGUGAGGAAAGCCUUCUCGUCGUAAAGCUCUGUUGUGAGGGAAAAAACGCUACCGUUCUAAUAUGGCGGUACCUUGACGGUACCUCACCACAAAGCCACGGCUAACUACAUGCCACCACCCGCGGUAAUACGUAUGUGGCGAGCGUUGUCCGGAAUUAUUGUGCGUGAAGCGCGCGCACGCGGCUUCUUAAGUCUGAUAUGAAAUCUCNNGGCUCACCCCCCNGCGGCCAUUGGAAACUGGGGA
rnacentral:rRNA from 1 species